GAAUGACACAAUGGAUGUUUUAUUGUCAAGACUGUGUAUGAAAAUCCCAGAUGUUUCUGAAAGUUUCUCAUGACAUAUGUGAACAUUAACUUACUAAGUUCCAGUCCUGUCUUUGCAGGAAUUGAUGCAUAGCACUGCUACCACAUGACAUAAGAGUGAGAACGGGGGACAGAUGUUCGCAUAAAAGUGCCCAGUGAAGAGAGGAUAAGCUGAUGCUGAUCUCGGGGUGGUGUACAGGGCUUUGAACUCCUGUGGAGGAGACAGAAGGUCACAGUCCGUCUCUGCAGAUAAGAUUCUCCACCAGCAGCAGUUUCCAAACAGGACAAACUCAUGCAAUGAUCUCCUGAUGGACCCUGACACCUUAAAGCAAACAUAGCUGCAAAAAACACCACUGUUAUCACAGAUCAUAGCACAUUUUAACUGAACAACAGAGUGCAAAUGCAUAUAGCACCAUGACUGUGUGUAUUGAUUGAUCAUGGUGAAUAAAAUGAGCAAAUAAAAUCAUUUUAAAAAUAUAAAACUAUUAAAGAUUACCUAUAUUAUUCAAUAGUGUGGAGUUUGCAUGUUCUCCCCGUGCCUCGGGGGUUUCCGGGUACUCCAGUUUCCUCCCCCGGUCCAAACGACAUGCAUGGUAGGUUUAUUGGCAUCUCUCGAAAAAUUGUCCGUAGUGUGCGAGUGUGUGAGUGAAAGAGAAUGUGUGUGUGAAUGAGACUGUGAUGGGUUGGCACUCCGUCCAGGGGGUAUCCUGCCUUGAUGCCCGAUGACGCCUGAAAUAGCACAGGCUCCUCGUGACCCAAGAAAUUGGGAUAAGUGGUAGAAAAUGAAUGAAUGAAUAUAUUAUUCAAUAUGAUCUAAAGUUUUUUGCUAUGGUUUUUGCUAUAAAUAGUCAUUGUGUAGUGGUGUGACGAAACACAGCAGAUGUCGCUGUGGCUAAACAGACAAAAAACAUCGAAAAGAAUAAAAGAAUUGUAUAUUUUCCACAAUACAUCUUUUUAAUUGCCAGAAGUAAUAUGUUGAAGAAGGAGCUAAUUUUCCUCAAUGUGUCUAAAGUCUCACUAGCUAAUUGUGUUUAUCACACAUUAAGUAUUAUUCUUGGAUCGUGAUGUUAGUAGCUGUAUAACACAGCAGACCAGAUAUAUGCCUAUUCAAGUCAAAAUGUUGAUGCUCUUGUGCAGCAGUCAGGAAUAAAAACUAAAGACAAACAUAUUUUGUUCAGCAAUGUCUGCAUCUAAUUUAAGGUAUAAUAGUACGAAACAUAAAGUGAAAUAGAAAUGCUUGUUCAACAGUGACACUUUGUAUUAAUUACAGUGCGCCGAAGAUAAGAAAUGUGACAAGAACCAAAAUCUAAUUUGGAUUAAUAUUUACAAAGAUCAGACUCGUGCACAAAUGUUAUGGACAUUAGGUUGCUUUAUCUUUUGCUUUUGUUUGGAGAGAUUAAUACUUUUGAUUUAUUUGUUAUUCUUUCAUUCAGAAGUCAAGAGAACUGUAUUGGAAAUUGUGUUGAUGGCACUGGCUCAAAUAAAUCCUCUGCUCCUGUUA